UGGGCUAAUUGCAACUCAGAGUCUUUUUUGU
rnacentral:piRNA from 1 species